UUUAGCACAAAAGUUCCCCUACGAAUGUUAUGGCUAAUCAAUUCCAAUGCAGUAAAGAUGGAGGACAGGGGUAGUACCUGUUUUUGGUACCAUAGUCAAAUUACAUAAUUCACCAACCACCAGAACGUUUCUGAUGGUUUCUGUGAUUCCGGUGUUAACCUCUUAAAUGUAAAGUACCCAUUAUUUGGGGACCCUAUUUCAUUUUUCAGUUCAGUCUGGUAUGAGAACCGUAGCCACUAUUUGCAAAAGCAGGGUGUCUGCGGAAAGCGGAGUAUCUUCGCUGUUGAUCUGUGCCUUAGAAGCUUUGGUGAGUUACUGCCAUAUAUGGACAUAAGGGCAGGCCGAGCCGAUGACCUCGUUUCAAGAUGUCUGCUACCUACCUUCCGGUUAGCCUUGUGAGGCAUAAACGAAAUCAACAUGGAAUACGUUGAUUCACACCGUAAACCAGGAUACCACAUAUCAUGAGGAUGUCUUAUUAGUCUGCAUGUGACCUACAGUUAUUGAUCACCACCCCCGUUGAUUUUACACAACGUUUUCACCAAACAGCAAAGGAGAAAAUCUACAUUUUGCCAUUACAUCUAAGAGGAUAAAAACAGCAGCACAAUUUGAUGUCUGCUGGCCAGUCCAGUUGUCAGCCAACCAGAAGUGAUGAAGAAGAGGAAAAGGGUGAGGUGUGAGGUUAUUGGUACAUGCAGGUAUGUGCCCUAAAGAGAAGCCCAAAUUAUACAGAGGAUGGAGUAGGUUAGCCUGAUCCUAGAUCUGUUUCACCAAUGCCAACUCUAAAUGAUCAUUAGCUGACUAGCUGAGUUGGCAAGACGGCACAAACAGAUCUGGAAACAGGCUAUGGGUAAUGAGUUGAGAAAGAUUUGUUGCAUAUUGUGCUGUAGUAACUGGCUAGAGCGUUAACCAUGUGUCAGCUGGUUUAACCAUCGCCCUCAUCCUCCUUGUCCUUCUCUUCCUCGCUCGGUAAGUCCGGCAGUCGGAAACACUCCUCAAAGAAGUUGACCAGUGAUUGGCUCAGGUGUUGCCGAGUGCCAUCGCUAUGCAGGAAGUGUCCCUCGUCUGGGUAGAUCUACAGUACAAAAACAGAAAAUAAUGUAGGUAACACAAUAUUUGACACCCUGCUCAUUACGCCUUCAUUGCAAUGUCCUAAACAUGUCGUAAAGCUAAACUGUCAUGCCUACCUGUAAAGAGUAAUUUGCCUUCUCGUUGAUUAAAUGGUUGAUGAAUUUUGCAGAGUGCUGGAAAUGGACUUUCUCUGUAGGGAGGGAGAGCAGGUAACAGGAUGUGCAAGAUGUUUAUAUUCAGUCACAGUACUUCAACAACAAUCAGGCUCAAUCAGUUAAAAUUACUUUGACAGUAACUUAGCCGAUGGCCAAAUAGGAGUUCGAUAGGCAACAAAAACAGGUCUGGGACCAGGCUAACGUAUUGAUAGUGUUUAAAGUAAUGACUGUACCAUCAGCGGUUGGAUGGAUAAUCAUGUACUUCCUGUCCAUGAGACGACCUGCACGAUGUGCUAAACUGGCCAUCUGAAGGAAAGAGAAUGUCACCAUGAAAUACAUAGCAUCUUACACAUUGACUGACUAGUGUAAAUACAGUGUGUGAACUGUUGUCUUUACCGAGUAUAUUCGAGAGUCUGUCUUUGGUGAUCCAAGGUACCUCUCUGAAAAUGCUGAAGCUGGAGAAUAAAGAAAUAACACACA